GAUGAAGAACGCAGCGAAAUGCGAUAAGUAAUGUGAAUUGCAGAAUUCAGUGAAUCAUCGAAUCUUUGAACGCACAUUGCGCCCAUUAGUAUUCUAUUGGGCAUGCCUGUUCGAGCGUCAUUUUGACCACUUAAGCCUGGCUUAGUGUUGGGAAUCUACUUUUGUAGUUCCUUAAAUCUAGUGGCGGAGCCGCAGUGGCCUCUGAGCGUAGUAAUUUUUUCUCGCUUUGGAAGGUUCUGUAGUUUUUGCCAUAAAACCCCCAAUUUUUUAAGGUUGACCUCGGAUCAGGUAGGAAUACCCGCUGAACUUAAGCAUAUCAAUAAGCGGAGGA
rnacentral:misc_RNA from 1 species